rnacentral:rRNA from 1 species
GGCACCUCAGUUCGGCGCCCAGUCAGGUUAAGGUUUGGGAGGGCGGCAACGCAGACCCAUCUCCCCAAAAUCCAUCCCGCGGGAGACACGAGCGUGCGAGGGAGAGAGGCCGCUGCUCGUCCUGGUCCCGGUGGGAUGAAGAUUGACGAUCCCCUCGACUUCGAGGGGGAUAACGACCCCCUCCUCACCGUCCGCCGCCCCGCCAAGAGGAAGAAGGUUAUUGGGCUGGAUGAUCUCGUAGAAGAUUACUUUAAUUCCGGUAAGGAUGAGCUCAAAGCUUCUGCUGCUAAGUCUAAGGGUCGCCCCAAAGGAGACAAUUCAGACGAUGAAGAUAGGCAGGUCAGGAAGAAGGAGAUUGACUUCUGCAAAUUUGUGGAGGAGUGUGAGGAAAAGAAAUCACCCUCGGUUCUUAAUAGCACGGGAGUUGAAAAUUGCCAACUUUUGCAAUCAUUCUGUGGGGAUGAGCAGUUAGGUUUUGAUCUAGAGAUUGAACGAGGAGAGGGCUUUUUCGAAGGCAUGCUGAUCAAUGGAUGGCUUUUGAAGUUGGUACUCCUAUAUGGUUCUGUUGAAGACUCUAUAGCAUCAUGGGUGCUGACCAAGUACACUUCAGAUGGUGGUCCACCUCAAAACAUCACUGCAUGGUUAAGAGUUGUAUCUGCUUGCUGCAAAAUUAGAAAAAUGCAUGCCGUCUUCUCACCUUCGGAAGCGGAAGAUGUCCUUGUUAUUGUUAUUUCACUCUUUUUGGACCGUCGACUUGAAGGGCUGCUGCUUAUUUUGGGAGAUUGCCUAAAUUCACUCAUCUCAUACUUCAAUACGAGUGAAUGGGAAAGUAGCUGUCUGAUUGUUGCUGAGUCAAUUUCUAAGAGGGUCAAGAUGGAUCUUAAUUGUUUAAGGCUUGUUGACUGCAUUACCGGAACCAACGACCGUAGCAAAUUCCUAAGGAGCCAGCUGGCCCUUCAGUUGCUCAAAAAUAGCUUCGGCCUUAAAGUAGCGAAUGUUGAAAGGAUCCUGAAGUCGGUCACAUCGAUAAAUGUGAAGGAGAAAGAAUGCAAUUUCUUCAUGCUGUACGUGCACAUAGUUUUGAUGGACAACCUGCUCUUCUCGAGCGACGCGUUCAGAAACAAGACAGCGAUAAUCGACGCUUGGCGCAUUUUUUUACGGAACUGCUCGACCCAUAUAGGAUGCACGGACUGGAGGUUCUACGCUUCGAAGGUCCGAAACAAGGCGUCGUAUCUCCUGCAAGGUGCAAUGCUGAAAAGGCCUGCUGGCAGUGGUAACAUUCCUGCCAAGUGAUUUGAACCAACCUACUGAAAUGCCUGCUGCUGGAGAGCACGGAACCUACGCCCUGAUUUACUAGCACAAGUAGUAUGUUUAGGGUGAAUUUUAGGCUCAUUUUUGGGUACCUGAUGGUGGCUGACAGUAUUCUCAGCCCAUGUAUAGCGUAGUCCCCAGCAGUCUCAAGUCUCAACGCCGAGAAUGCCAUUUGAUGAACUUUUGGAGCAUGGACUUCUCUUAAAUAUAUUUGCUAGUCAUAUUUGUACCUUC